AACAAAAACAUGUCUUUUUGAAUUUAAAUUUAAAGUKUAAUCUGCCCACUGAUAAAUUAUUUAAUGGCCGCAGUAUUUUAACUGUGCAAAGGUAGCAUAAUCAUUAGUUUUUUAAUUGAAAACUUGUAUGAAUGAUUGGACGAGAUAUAAACUGUCUCAUAAAAAUUUUUUGUAGAAUUUAAUUUUUUAGUAAAAAAGCUAAAAUAAAUUUAAAAGACGAGAAGACCCUAUAGAUCUUUAUAUAAUUGAUUAUUAUUAUUUUUUAGUUUUUUUAUAUAUUAAUAAUUAAUAAUAUUUUAUUGGGGUGAUAUUGAAAUUUAAUAAACUUUCAAAAAUUUAAAUAACAUUAAUUUAUGAUUUAAUGAUCCUUUAUUAUUGAUUAAAAAUUUAAGUUACCUUAGGGAUAACAGCGUAAUUAUUUUGGAGAGUUCAUAUCGAUAAAAUAGAUUGCGACCUCGAUGUUGGAUUAAGAUUAAUUUUAGAUGUAGCAGUUUAAAGUAUUAAGUCUGUUCGACUUUUAAUUUCUUACGUGAUCUG
rnacentral:rRNA from 1 species